rnacentral:rRNA from 1 species
UACGUAGGGUGCGAGCGUUGUCCGGAAUUAUUGGGCGUAAAGAGCUCGUAGGCGGUCUGUCGCGUCUGCUGUGAAAACUCAGGGCUUAACCCUGAGCUUGCAGUGGGUACGGGCAGACUAGAGUGCGGUAGGGGAGACUGGAAUUCCUGGUGUAGCGGUGAAAUGCGCAGAGAUCGGGAGGAACACCCGUAGCGAAGGCGGCACUCUGGGCCGGUACUGACGCUGAGGAGCGAAAGCGUGGGGAGCAAACAGG